AUAUAGCCCCGACAGUAGCGGCAUCCUUUUUUGUUUUUUCUUUAAAAACAAAAAGAUAGAGCGAAUGGCGGGAACUGGC
rnacentral:sRNA from 1 species